rnacentral:rRNA from 1 species
UACGUAGGGUGCGAGCGUUAAUCGGAAUUACUGGGCGUAAAGCGUGCGCAGGCGGUUUUGUAAGCCAGAUGUGAAAUCCCCGGGCUUAACCUGGGAAUGGCAUUUGGGACUGCAAGGCUCGAGUGCGGCAGAGGAGACUGGAAUUCCUGGUGUAGCAGUGAAAAUGCGUAGAUAUCAGGAGGAACACCGAUGGCGAAGGCAGGUCUCUGGGCUGACACUGACGCUCAUGCACGAAAGCGUGGGGAGCAAACAGG